UUGAUACUCCCUCCGUCUGAAAAUAGUUGUCAUCAAAAUGGACAAAAAUGGAUGUAUCUAGAACUAAAAUACAUCUAGAUACAUUCCCUUUUAUUCAUUUUGAUGACAAGUAUUUCCGGACGGAGGGAGUAGCUA
rnacentral:pre_miRNA from 1 species